rnacentral:lncRNA from 1 species
UAGGAUUGAUAUGAGACAUUAUUUGACAUAAAGCAAAAUACUUUAAUUAUUUAAAACAAGAUUCCCGACAAGUGGUUUUCAGCUGUUUGCAUUUGAAUGGGGAAGCUGAGCACUAUCCAUUAAAUCUUCACUGCAGCAAGUCAUUUCUUCGUCUUUUUCUUUUUCAUCGUGCAAUUCUAUCUUGGCAAGACUGAUUUGAC